rnacentral:rRNA from 1 species
UACGGGGGGGGCAAGCGUUGUUCGGAAUUACUGGGCGUAAAGGGCUUGUAGGUGGCCAACUAAGUCAGACGUGAAAUCCCUCAGCUUAACUGGGGAACUGCUUCUGAUACUGGAUGGCUUGAGUUUGGGAGAGGGAUGCGGAAUUCCAGGUGUAGCGGUAGAAAUGCGUAGAUAUCUGGAGGAACACCGGUGGCGAAGGCGGCAUCCUGGACCAACACUGACACUGAAAAGCGAAAGCCAGGGGAGCAAACGGG